rnacentral:rRNA from 1 species
GACGAACGCUGGCGGCGUGCUUAACACAUGCAAGUCGAACGGAAAGGCCCUGCUUUUGUGGGGUGCUCGAGUGGCGAACGGGUGAGUAACACGUGAGUAACCUGCCCUUGACUUUGGGAUAACUUCAGGAAACUGGGGCUAAUACCGGAUAGGAGCUCCUGCUGCAUGGUGGGGGUUGGAAAGUUUCGGCGGUUGGGGAUGGACUCGCGGCUUAUCAGCUUGUUGGUGGGGUAGUGGCUUACCAAGGCUUUGACGGGUAGCCGGCCUGAGAGGAUGACCGGCCACAUUGGGACUGGAAUACGGCCCAGACUACUACGGGAGGCAGCAGUGGGGAAUAGUGCACUAUGGGCGGAAGCCUGAUGCAGCAACGCCGCGUGCGGGAUGACGGCCUUCGGGUUGUAAACCGCUUUCGCCUGUGACGAAGCGUGAGUGACGGUAAUGGGUAAAGAAGCACCGGCUAACUACGUG